rnacentral:rRNA from 1 species
GUUUAUCACCAUUCCAGAUUGAAUAUACCCGUUUUCGUUUGUUUUGGAAAGUCAACCAUUCUCGGACUUGGUUAGUACUUGAAUGGGUGCCCGCUUGGGAACACCAAGUGUGGUAAGCA